rnacentral:rRNA from 1 species
GAAACUUAAAGGAAUUGGCGGGGGAGCACCGCAACGGGAGGAGCGUGCGGUUCAAUUGGAUUCAACGCCGAAAAACUCACCAGGAGCGACGGAUAUAUGAAGGUCAAGCUGAUGACUUUACCUGAUUUUCCGAGAGGUGGUGCAUGGCCGUCGUCAGUUCGUACCGUAAGGCGUUCUCUUAAGUGAGAUAACGAACGAGACCCUCACCUUUAAUUGCUAGUCUCUUCUCCGGAGGAGGCGCACAUUAAAGGGACCGCUGGCGCUAAGCCAGAGGAAGGUGAGGUCAACGGUAGGUCCGUAUGCCCCGAAUCUCCUGGGCAACACGCGCGCUACAAAGGACGGGACAAUGGGCUUCCACACCGAAAGGUGGAGACAAUCCCGAAACCCGCCCAUAGUUCGGAUUGUGGGCUGUAACUCGCCCACAUGAAGCUGGAUUCCGUAGUAAUCGCCUGUCAACAUCAGGCGGUGAAUAUGCCCCUGCUCCUUGCACACACCGCCCGUCAAACCACCCGAGUUGGGUUUCAGUAAGGAUAUCUCUCAUUGGGGUCUUCGAACUGAGAUUCAGCAAGGAGGGUUAAGUCGUAACAAGGUAUCUGUAGGGGAACCUGCAGAUG